AUUGAACGCUGGCGGCAUGCCUUACACAUGCAAGUCGAACGGCAGCGGGCCCUUCGGGGUGCCGGCGAGUGGCGAACGGGUGAGUAAUGCAUCGGAACGUACCCGGGAGAGGGGGAUAACCGGCCGAAAGGCUGGCUAAUACCGCAUGAACUCGGAAGAGCAAAGCGGGGGACCUUCGGGCCUCGCGCUCUCGGAGCGGCCGAUGUCCGAUUAUGCUAGUUGGUGGGGUAAAGGCCCACCAAGGCGACGAUCGGUAGCGGGUCUGAGAGGACGAUCCGCCACACUGGGACUGAGACACGGCCCAGACUCCUACGGGAGGCAGCAGUGGGGAAUCUUGGACAAUGGGCGCAAGCCUGAUCCAGCAAUGCCGCGUGGGUGAAGAAGGCCUUCGGGUUGUAAAGCCCUUUCGGCGGGGAAGAAAUCGGUCAGGCGAAUAGUCUGGCCGGAUGACGGUACCCGCAGAAGAAGCACCGGCUAACUACGUG
rnacentral:rRNA from 1 species